CCACGGCUGCGGUGACAAAGGACGCUCCAGGGAAAGAUUCACCUCCGGUAAGUUCCCAGCUUUCUGUUCCGCUAACUACUAUUCAGAUUGCAGGCCGUAUUUCUCAUUUUUUCCACAGCUGGGCAGGUCUCUCCAUGGACGCCUGGAUCCUGCAGAUGGUAUGCGUCCAAUCACACCCACCCCCAUUUCGGAUGGCAGGCGCGGAUGCCAGACUGGUUGACUCAGAACUGGAUGAUCUAUGGUAUAAGGGUGCCAUUCAGACAGCCCCGAAUCUCGACGGAUUCUUCAGCAACAUCUUGUUCGGUUAUUAAUCUAAGACAGCUAAAUACCCACGUCAUAUACAGGCAUUUCAAGAUGGAAGGCAUUCAUCUCCUUCAAGACCUACUUCGGGACGGAGACUGGUUUACGCAGCUGGACCUGAAAGACGACCACCAAGAUCCACUUGUUUGCCGUCUCCUUUGUGGCAUACGACUUUGGCGUCCUCCAGGACCCAAAUACACACGGU